UCCAAACAGCAACGCUCCUGAGUUUGUGUCCCACGUCACCUUCAGUCCGCUCAGAGCAGAGGAAUCAUUUCCAUAGAGAGGAGGCUUUGCAUCGUCAGCUGAUCCUCCACUGAACUGAGAAGCUUUAUAGUCCUGUGACUCCAACUCUGCAGGACUCAGACCCGUCAGUCCACCACAACCACCAUGACUCUCAUCACCCUCCUCAUCUGGACGCUGGCCUGCUGCAGCUUCACAGGAUGCAGCGGCCAGGUGACUGUGACUCAGCCUCCAGUCGUGACAUUUACUCCAGGAUCCACUGUCACACUGACCUGUAAAACCAACCCCAGUGUUUAUAACAAUGAUUUUAUGUCCUGGUACCAGCAGAAACCUGGACAGGCUCCACAGCUCCUAAUAUACAGGGUGAGCACAAUCCAAUCAGGAACACCAGCUGGGUUUAGUGGCAGUGGAAGCAGCUCUGACUUCUCUUUGACCAUCAGUGGAGUUCAGAGUGAAGAUGCAGCAGUUUACUACUGUCAGAGCGUCCAUGUAGUAAGCGGAGCAGAAGUGUUCACACAGUGA